ACCUGGCUGGCUCAGUCACUAGAGCAUGUGACUCUCGUUCUUGGGUUUGUGGGUUCGAGCCCCAUGCUGGGUG
rnacentral:tRNA from 1 species